rnacentral:rRNA from 1 species
AGUGAACGCUGGCGGCGUGCUUACCACAUGCAAGUUGAACGAGAACGGGUUAUAGCAUGCUACAAUUGUCAGCUAAGUGGCGCACGGGUGUGUAAUGUAUAGGUAAUAUGCCUCUUACUAAGGGAUAACAUAUGGAAACGUUUGCUACUACCUUAUACUCCUUAUUAACAUAAGUUAAUAAGGGAAAGAUUUAUUGGUAAGAGAUUAGCCUGAAUUGUAUCAGUUAGUUGGUGGGGGAAUGGCUUACCAAGACUAUGGCACAUAAAUGGUUUGAGAGGAUUAUCAGUCACAAUGGAACUGAGACACGGACCAAACUACUAAGGUAGGCAGCAGUGGGAAAUAUUUCACAAUGGGCGAAAGUCUGAAGCAGCAACGCCGCGUGGAGGAUGACACAUUUCGGUGCGUAAACUCCUUUUAUAUGAGAAGAUAAGGACGGUAUUAGAUGAAUAAGCACCGGCUAACUCCGUGCCAGCAGCCGCAUUAA